rnacentral:pre_miRNA from 1 species
AGUGAAAUUGCUGGGUCAUAAUGCCAUAAGGUCAUGUUUAACUCUUUAUAAAAAACUGCCAAACAGUCCUUCAAAGAGAUUGUACCAUUUUAUACUCCCACCAGCAGU